rnacentral:rRNA from 1 species
UACGUAGGGUGCGAGCGUUGUCCGGAAUUAUUGGGCGUAAAGAGCUCGUAGGCGGUGUGUCACGUCGGCCGUGAAAACCUGCAGCUUAACUGUGGGCGUGCGGUCGAUACGGGCAUCACUGGAGUUCGGCAGGGGGGACUGGAAUUCCUGGUGUAGCGGUGAAAUGCGCAGAUAUCAGGAGGAACACCGGUGGCGAAGGCGGGUCUCUGGGCCGAUACUGACGCUGAGGAGCGAAAGCGUGGGGAGCAAACCGG